AUCAGGUCUCGCGUGAACCGAUCCCGAGGCCAGGCCGGCGCCGCCUUGCGCGCGAAUCCGGUCCGGCGUCCGUCGAUAACCUGACGCCACG
rfam:Brevundimonas diminuta ATCC 11568 genomic scaffold BDIM_scaffold00003, whole genome shotgun sequence.